UGAUAUGAGGGUGAUCUGGCUGUGACAUCUGUCACUCCAUGGACUGCCAGUGUUGAUUCGGCUGAUCUGGCUGGCUAGGCGGGCCUCCCUUCCUUCCUCACCACUCCAUGUACAUCACUCCCGAAGCUGCACACUUGGUUGAAGAGGAUGACCUUCUCCGAUAGAGGAGGACUGUUCAUCAGUCAGAGGUAUACGACUAUCUGUGCUUCCCUGCUGGAACCUCCAAACAAGCUCUCAAUCUGAUUGAUGAGAAUUAAGGUGUUGAACCCUUGGCCCUGGGUUUCUCACCCAUGAUGCAACUCGCUGAGCACAGGGUCUCCAUCUGCGUCCAU
rnacentral:snRNA from 1 species